GGGUACAAACUCGUCCCUGUGGGCCUUGUUAAAGCUUUCCUAAAUCAAUCCUGGCGUUUUAUAAGAGGAUGCCGGGAAAGGUUUUCCGAUUUAUCCCGGAGGGCUUGUAAUUCAAUUGGUUAAAGCGCGCGCUUGAUAGGCGUGAGGUCGGAGGUUCAAGUCCUCCCAGGCCCACCAAUUAAUUUUCUCCCUCCCUUUCUGGCCUUAUCAUUUUGGUACUUUAACACCUCCAACACUACAGGGCAGUGUGUAGUUUCCCAAAUCCACCAAGCUAUUUUACAUCACUCUGCUUUUACAAAGGCGGUUGUGGCUUUCUGAAUCCCGUUCACCUUAAAGUCCUCCCAGGCCCACCAAUUA
rnacentral:misc_RNA from 1 species